rnacentral:lncRNA from 1 species
CGAAGUCAAUCGAUGCGCUCUCUAAGGGAGAAGACAGGAGCUUUGCGCUUAGAGAAGUCCCUUGGCCGGACAGAGCGCAUCUUCUUUUGCUCAUUUUUCAGGGCCUUGCCUUGUUGGCCUACCAAAUAAACAGGCUUUUUUUGAUUGAUUCGCUUACGGGUCAUUAACUAAAGACCUUGAAGUCGUGACCCAUGAGCUAGCUGAGGAAAGCGAUAUCGCGCGUAGACAUCAAGCCGUAGCGCGCGAACCAGCAACCCCUCUUUAUGAUGCUUUCCACUCUUUCGAGAGGAUUCAGUUAUUGAGUCGGUGAGCUGAUCUCGCCUUUUAUCUGGACAUUGUGAGUUCUCCCGAUCAUGACGACGAAGCGAGUGAAGGGUAGCACUGAACUGGCAAAGAGAAUGAAUGAGAUUAUGGGGCUCCGGUUCCAUCGAUUUUGACUUCAUUUUACUUAAUAGAAAGAGGUUGCAAAAAAGGAAGAGAAUGGAUCCACUCAAAAAACUUUGUUCGGAAUCUAACUCAGAGAGGCAGUGUUGAGUCCAUGCAGACUCUAAAUUCGUCUAGCGCUUCAAACCAUAUUGGAUUACUAGAUAAAGAGCGAGUGAUCACCCAUGAGGAAAUGGGCAUUGUCUAAAUCCCUGUUUUAAGAAGUUGAAAGAACGUUUUCGCCGUAUCCUUUACAAGCUUUUACACGAAGCAAUGAAUGAGUUGCUCGACGGCAUUCAUCUGUCUUUUCAGUAAAGCGAGUCUUUCAAGUAAGCCCGCCUAACAUGAAAGUCAAGCCUUUCACUUCAUUGUUCAAGUCCUGCCUUCAGAGAAAAGGGUACAGGUCGGUUUGUUGUUUCGAAAGAUUCUCGCACACGAUUCAGUCUGCCUCUGUCAAAUAAAUAAAGUGGAUGGAGAGCCUUCUUAUCCUUUUAGGUCCGACCUCUCUCUUCCACUUUCCACCCCCCUAAGCUUUACUAAAAGGAGGGUCAUCAACACCGUCAGAACCUCGCAUUUGCGGCUAAGUGUCCCUCCGCGGUAAGGAAUUGAUUUUCUUUCUUUCCCUGCAGUGCUAUAGUGCGCUUGGACUCUAUCUCCGCUGUCUGGCUUUCAUGAAGAAAGAUUGAAAGCGUCCUCUUCGAGCGACUGCGUACCUCAUGUCAAAGAUGUUCGUGUACUUUAGAAUUCGAAAUAGGACUGUUAGCGCUGGUCUCUAGCCACCUAGAACUACCAGAGACUCGAUCCACCUCAGGAACAUUCAAAAGACUAAAGCCACCUGAAACUCACUGAUUGUCUCAUGCCACCUCGGAAGAGAAGACAUAUUCUCAGACAGAAAAGAAAGGACUUACCACUUGGCCACACUCAGAAGCCGGAGUCUGAGCUAGUAGCUAGCCUCAGGUAUAGAACUGGAGUUCUC